rnacentral:rRNA from 1 species
GACGAACGCUGGCGGCGUGCUUAACACAUGCCAGUCGAACGGAAAGGCCCUGCUUUUGUGGGGUGCUCGAGUGGCGAACGGGUGAGUAACACGUGAGUAACCUGCCCUUGACUUUGGGAUAACUUCAGGAAACUGGGGCUAAUACCGGAUAGGAGCUCCUGCUGCAUGGUGGGGGUUGGAAAGUUUCGGCGGUUGGGGAUGGACUCGCGGCUGAUCAGCUUGUUGGUGGGGUAGUGGCUGACCAAGGCUUUGACGGGUAGCCGGCCUGAGAGGGUGACCGGCGACAUUGGGACUGAGAUACGGCCCAGACUCCUACGGGAGGCAGCAGUGGGGAAUAUUGCACAAUGGGCGGAAGCCUGAUGCAGCAACGCCGCGUGCGGGAUGACGGCCUUCGGGUUGUAAACCGCUUUCGCCUGUGACGAAGCGUGAGUGACGGUAAUGGGUAAAGAAGCACCGGCUAACUACGUG